rnacentral:tRNA from 1 species
GGUCCCGUAGUUCAACGGAUAGAAUAGAAGUUUCCUAAACUUGAGAUAUGAGUUCGAUUCUCGUCGGGACCA